UACGUAGGGAGCAAGCGUUGUCCGGAUUCAUUGGGCGUAAAGAGCUCGUAGGCGGCUUGGUAAGUCGGAUGUGAAACCUCCAGGCUCAACCUGGAGUCGCCAUCCGAUACUGCCAUGGCUAGAGUCCGGUAGGGGCCCACGGAAUUCCUGGUGUAGCGGUGAAAUGCGCAGAUAUCGGGAGGAACACCAGAGGCGAAGGCGGCGACCUGGAAGGUAACUGACACUGAGCAGCGAAAGCGUGGGGAGCAAACAGG
rnacentral:rRNA from 1 species